CGGCACUACCGCGGGAAAUUUCACAAACUUCCUCUAAUGAGGCCCUUCCUGAUUCCCGUUUUGCGUAAUGUUUCCACCGUUGUGAUAAUCGUUUUCUUCUCUACAGGUUGAGUGACGCGAAACACCCAAUCGCAAUGUGAGCCAGAGGAGUCACCGCACCAAAGAGCCCUGCCACUGGUGAGUCUCAGUUUUUUUAUUUUUUUUGGCCAACCAAGGCCCUUUAACGUAUUUGCUUGCAGGAAUCGAUGCAAAAUCAACCAAAUUCUACCAAAAACGGUCGACUCGAGGCGGUGCAGUCACCGGAGCACGACGGAGCCACCGUGCU
rnacentral:lncRNA from 1 species